GAGUUUGAUCUUGGCUCAGGACGAACGCUGGCGGCGUGCUUAACACAUGCAAGUCGAACGAUGAAGGGGAGCUUGCUCCUUGGAUUAGUGGCGAACGGGUGAGUAACACGUGAGUAACCUGCCCUUGACUCUGGGAUAAGCGUUGGAAACGACGUCUAAUACCGGAUAUGACCUGUGACGGCAUCGUCUGCAGGUGGAAAGAAUUUUGGUCAAGGAUGGACUCGCGGCCUAUCAGGUAGUUGGUGAGGUAACGGCUCACCAAGCCGACGACGGGUAGCCGGCCUGAGAGGGUGACCGGCCACACUGGGACUGAGACACGGCCCAGACUCCUACGGGAGGCAGCAGUGGGGAAUAUUGCACAAUGGGCGAAAGCCUGAUGCAGCAACGCCGCGUGAGGGACGACGGCCUCGGUUGUAA
rnacentral:rRNA from 1 species